rnacentral:rRNA from 1 species
CAUGCANGUCNUAGUAAAAAAACUUNAGNCGGUCGUUNUCGAAANUGGCAUGGCUCNNUAAAUNCAGUUAUCGUUUAUUUGAUAGUACCUUACUACAUGGAAACCUGAGGUAAUUCUAGAGCUAAUANCAUGCUACAAACACCGANCUUCAGGAAGGGGUGUAUUUAUUAGAUAAAAAACCAACGCCCUUCGGGGCUCCUGUGGUGAAUAAUAAUAACUUAACGAAUCGCAUGGCCUUGCGCCGGCGAUGGUUCAUUCAAAUUUCUGCCCUAUCAACUUUCGAUGGCAGGAUAGUGGCCUACCAUGGUCGCAACGGGUAACCAGGAAUUAGGGUUCGAUUCCGGAGAGGGAGCCUGANAAACGGCUACCACAUCCAAGGAAGGCAGCAGGCGNCGCAAAUUANCCAAUCCCCGAUACGGGGAGGUAGUGANCAAUAAAUACUGAUACGGGGCUUCUUUCCGGUCUCGAAUAGGAAUCAAAACAUUUAAAUCCUNUAACUNGAGNAUCAUUGAGGCAAGUCUGUGCAGCANCCGCGGUAAUA